rnacentral:misc_RNA from 1 species
GUUACAUUAAUAAAAAGCAACAAUCAAUAUCUUCCCCGUAAAAAAUUUUAAUCUAUAACAGAGAGAAUUCCGGCCCCUCCCGCAUCUCCUACCACCGACCGACCUCUCGCGUUCUUCCUCGCGUGCGCUCUCUUUCACUCCAUCCUCUUUCCUCUUUCUCUAUUCCUCUCUUCGAUUCUCUCUCACUCUCUUCUGCCUCCCGCCCUCUUGAGAAAAGCGCUGCUACGAACCGUGCCGAGUUCACAGUAUCGUAUCCAGACUGUACGGGUACCCUGUUGUCAGAGUCAACGACGCGCGAACGUAUCUUGCCGCUGACUCGGCGGAAAUCGUAUAUUGUUAUCUCUGUUUUUUCUGUACGCGCCCGCUCUCUGCUGGUGACUUUCAUUGAUACCGUUGGAAACCUCUUUUUUCAAACACGCGUCCCCUCGCGUUUGUGCUGAUUAAUUUUUUCACGCGAGAUAUAUCGAACGUAGUCGAAUGUCGCCGUUCGAUCCGCGAUCGCAUUCGGACCCGCGCUCACAGAUUCACGAGUAACAACCAUUCAAACGCCAACAUUUCUUGCGCGCGUGCUUUCGUAGAAAGUUUCGAAGAGUUGUGCCAAGUGUGUCGAGACCGUCUGUAGUUCGAAUCAAAUUUGUGCCGCGUGAUACAAGCAACAACUACCGAGUGAUUCACUUCCGGACUCGAGGACUACGUGUCAUCGAUCAUUCUCGCAGCUAGGAAGUAUCGUACAGCUUUGACGGGCGACUUCGGCGGAACAACAGAAAACACGUGAGACCGAGGAUCGUCAGGGGCAGCCGUGAUCGAGGUGCACGUUCGAACGGACUCGCGUGUAAAUGCUUCGAAGGCCACCGUGUUGCAGGCAUUCAUCCGGUUGACAGAGGUCCGGGUUGCUUCGACUUGGAGAACGAGCCUGUCGACUGACUGCGCAUCGACCGAUACCUUCU